CUUUAAACUUCAAUCAAAAAUUCUCAGGCACAAUAAUAAUAAUAUUGUAAUUUGGCUGAUCCGAAGAAUGCUGCGUAAACGAACCGAACCUUUCUCUGAGCCCGGCUGGCCAAUCCUUCGGAUGCAGAUACCUCGAAUCCGACAGAUGCCAACACGUAAACGAUUCGCAGGCAGAUUCGCAGGAGGAGCCAAAGACGUAUAGCUACCAAAAUUGCAUGGGGCCAAAUGGAGGAUUUUAUGGCGAUGCGAGAAGAGCCGAAAAAUUCUUUGAUGAAAUUUCCUCCGUUCCCACUCCGAUCUUUUGGCCAUAUACAAAUUGGCUGGGCCAUUAGUCUUGGCCAGAAAAGAAAAGAAACACGGGGACUUAAACGUUUUAGUGGCUGCGCUUAAGACUUUUGCCGCAAUUUUUCCACUUGAGUUUAUUGCGGCAUUAUAACCCUAAGACCAGAAAGGGAAAAACGCAGAGAAGUUCCCACAAUUUGUUGUCGCCCCAUUCGAUGGGCUGGCUAUUCAUUCGAUUCUGGGGAAUCCAGAUUCCCUUUAUUUGGAAUACAAUUCGAUUAGAAUUGACUUCUGUCGAGUGGCGGAAGGGAGAGAGCCCGGAAAAAUACUUUCACGACAAUGGAAACGCUGACGCGGCCAAAAAUGAAUUCGAAGAUCCAUGCGAUUCCACAAGUGUCUCUCGCUCUGCUCUUCUUUUUUCACGCACUUUGUGAAGUGGUUAGAUAAUCCAUUGUUUACGGGGGAUGAUCGGCCAGAAGAACCGAACUGAGCUGAACUCGAACUCAAGUUGAAGGAGGCCCGAAAACCGUUUGGUCAUUUUGGCAGCGGGAAGAUUUCGGAAUCGAUAUUGAAAUUCGUCUCACGUUUGUUUCUUGUAAUUGCAGCCAACCUGGCAGACAGCCAGGCAUCUGGAUUGGUCACGGAAUGAGUGUUGCAUUACUUGACCAAUGAAGCUACUGAAGUGGGAAAUUAACCUUUGAAAGUUGUAAUUUUACUGUAUACCUGUGCUUAUGUAAAAUGGAUUUAUUCAAAGAACAAAUGGUUGGACAAAGUUUUGGUUGAAAACAUACCACCUAACAAAACCUUCCCUCAAUCAAUCAAUCCUCGAAUGGCAUUCCAAUGUUUUCCACCACCCUUCUGCCAAAAUGGAUAGACUGCACUUGACGGAAAACUGGGUUGUUUACCCAACCACCGCCAUUACCAUUUCAUCUUAAUCUAUCAACCACCUUUCAAAACCCGUGCACCAUUCAUACGAAACAGAUCCAUCGAUCGCAAACGCGCAGAAGACUCUCUUCAGAAAUCAAAACUCAAUGGUAGUUUCGACAAUCGCAUUGGGGCGUUUUAAGAAUAACAACAAUAACUAAGAAAGGAAAACGAGCAGCAUUCGAGAAAUGAAAUCGAAUCAAAUGAUGUGUAUAAAAUGAAAAUAACACAAAGGUAAAUACCAACAAUAAUAAAGUCGGUUGGGGAAAAAUGCGCAACAAAAAGCAUACAAUAAAAACCAAGAAAAAUAACUACAAAAGCGCAAAGUAUCCACAAUGCUGUUCAGCUGAGGGUGAGAUGUUACUGUUGUGCACUGAGGGAAAAUACUAUGAAUGAAUAUACUAUACUACUAUGAAUAGAUAUUACUAUCGAAAAUAAUAUUAAGUAUAAUAUGUAACUUAUUUUCUUAGCAUGUAAUUAUAUAUUUAAUAUGCAAAU
ensembl:ncRNA lncRNA:CR43823 long non-coding RNA:CR43823